rnacentral:rRNA from 1 species
UACGUAGGGACCAAGCGUUGUCCGGAAUCAUUGGGCGUAAAGCGCGCGUAGGUGGCCAUUUAAGUCCGCUGUGAAAGUCAGAGGCUCAACCUUUGAAAGCCGGUGGAUACUGGAUGGCUAGAGUACGGAAGAGGCGAGUGGAAUUCCUGGUGUAGCGGUGGAAUGCGCAGAUAUCAGGAGGAACACCUAUAGCGAAGGCAGCUUGCUGGGACGUUACUGACGCUAAGGCGCGAAAGCGUGGGGAGCAAACAGG